GAUGAACGCUGGCGGCGCGCCUAACACAUGCAAGUCGAACGAUUAAAGCACCUUCGGGUGUGUAUAAAGUGGCGAACGGCUGAGUAACACGUGGGCAACCUGCCCCUCUCAUUGGGAUAGCCACGGGAAACCGUGGAUAAUACCGAAUACUUCGAGUCUCCCGCAUGGAAGACUCGAGAAAGCUCCGGCGGAAAGGGAUGGGCCCGCGGCCUGUUAGCUUGUUGGUGGGGUAACGGCCUACCAAGGCAAUGAUGGGUAGCUGGGUUGAGAGACCGACCAGCCAGAUUGGGACUGAGACACGGCCCAGACUCCUACGGGAGGCAGCAGUGGGGAAUCUUGCACAAUGGGCGAAAGCCUGAUGCAGCGACGCCGCGUGCGGGAUGAAGGCCUUCGGGUUGUAAACCGCUUUCAGCAGGGACGAGGCGAAAGUGACGGUACCUGCAGAAGAAGCCCCGGCUAACUACGUGCCAGCAGCCGCGGUAAUACGUAGGGGGCAAGCGUUAUCCGGAUUCAUUGGGCGUAAAGCGCUCGUAGGCGGUCUGUUAGGUCGGGAGUUAAAUCCGGGGGCUCAACCCCCGUUCGCUCCCGAUACCGGCAGACUUGAGUUUGGUAGGGGAAGGUGGAAUUCCUAGUGUAGCGGUGGAAUGCGCAGAUAUUAGGAAGAACACCAGUGGCGAAGGCGGCCUUCUGGGCCAUAACUGACGCUGAGGAGCGAAAGCUAGGGGAGCAAACAGG
rnacentral:rRNA from 1 species